CCAAUGGGUUCUAAUGCUUGGGAAAAACUAAGGAUUAUUCAAGGAAUACCUGCUCCUGGGAAAGAGCUCACUAAUGAAUUCAAUGUUCUGGAGGCUGGACUUUGGAACUCCAUUUCUCUAAACAAGGGAUGUUACAAGGGACAAGAGACCAUUUCUAGACUCAUAACAUAUGACGGAGUGAAGCAGAAAUUAUGGGCAAUUCUUCUAUCAGCACCAGCAGAACCUGGCAGUGUGAUUACCGUUGAUGGUAGAAAAGUGGGAAGACUGACGAGCUGUACAUCUGGGAGAAAGGGAUCAGAACAUUAUGGCUUGGCCUACAUUAAGAGGCAAACUGUUUUGGAAGGUAGCACUGUAAUCGUUGGAGAGAGCAUUGUUGGAACAGUGGCGGAUGCUCCUUUUCUUGCUCGGCAACAUCCACCAUCAAAGAGCCCUAGCUCUUGACCUCCUGUAACCAUUAAGUAAAGGUAGACAAAUUUUCAUGUGCUGGAUGAUACGUACUUGUUCUUCACUUAUACAAAAUAUAGACAUUGUAGAGUCAGUUUCUGUUGGAGACAACAUG
rnacentral:misc_RNA from 1 species